CAGCCGCCGCGGUAAUACGUAGGGGGCGAGCGUUGUCCGGAAUUAUUGGGCGUAAAGCGCGCGCAGGCGGUCCUUUAAGUCUGAUGUGAAAGCCCACGGCUCAACCGUGGAGGGUCAUUGGAAACUGGGGGACUUGAGUGCAGGAGAGGAGAGCGGAAUUCCACGUGUAGCGGUGAAAUGCGUAGAGAUGUGGAGGAACACCAGUGGCGAAGGCGGCUCUCUGGCCUGUAACUGACGCUGAGGCGCGAAAGCGUGGGGAGCAAACAGGAGUAGAUACCCUGGUAGUCCACGCCGUAAACGAUGAGUGCGAAGUGUUAGAGGGGUCACACCCUUUAGUGCUGCAGCUAACGCGAUAAGCACUCCGCCUGGGGAGUACGGCCGCAAGGCUGAAACUUAAAGGAAUUGGCGGG
rnacentral:rRNA from 1 species